GAUGAACGCUGGCGGCGUGCCUAAUACAUGCAAGUCGAGCGAACAGACGAGGAGCUUGCACCUCUGACGUUAGCGGCGGACGGGUGAGUAACACGUGGAUAACCUACCUAUAAGACUGGGAUAACUUCGGGAAACCGGUGCUAAUACCGCAUAAUAUAUUUAACCGCAUGGUUCAAUAGUGAAAGACGCUUUUGCUGUCACCUAUAGAUGGAUCCGCGCCGCAUUAGCUAGUUGGUAAGGUAACGGCUUACAAAGGCAACGAUGCGUAGCCGACCUGAGAGGGUGAUCGGCCACACUGGAACGGAGACACGGUCCAGACUCCUACGGGAGGCAGCAGUAGGGAAUCUUGCGCAAUGGGCGAAAGCCUGACGGAGCAACGCCGCGUGGGUGAUGAAGGUCUUCGGAUCGUAAAACUCUGUUAUUAGGGAAGAACAAAUGUGUAAGUAACUAUGCACGUAUUGACGGUACCUAAUCAGAAAGCCACGGCUAACUACGUG
rnacentral:rRNA from 1 species